UACGGAGGAUCCGAGCGUUAUCCGGAUUUAUUGGGUUUAAAGGGAGCGUAGGCGGGUUGUUAAGUCAGUUGUGAAAGUUUGCGGCUCAACCGUAAAAUUGCAGUUGAUACUGGCAUCCUUGAGUACAGUAGAGGUAGGCGGAAUUCGUGGUGUAGCGGUGAAAUGCUUAGAUAUCGCGAAGAACUCCGAUUGCGAAGGCAGCCUGCUGGACUGUAACUGACGCUGAUGCUCGAAAGUGUGGGUAUCAAACAGG
rnacentral:rRNA from 1 species